UACGUAGGGGGCUAGCGUUGUCCGGAAUCAUUGGGCGUAAAGAGCGUGUAGGCGGCCCGGUAAGUCCGCUGUAAAAGUCAAAGGCUCAACCUUUGAAUGUCAGUGGAUACUGCCGGGCUAGAGUCCGGAAGAGGCGAGUGGAACUCCUGGUGUAGCGGUGGAAUGCGCAGAUAUCAGGAAGAACACCAACGGCGAGGGCAGCUCGCUGGGACGGUACUGACGCUGAGACGCGAAAGCGUGGGGAGCGAACAGG
rnacentral:rRNA from 1 species